GUCAAACGCCAUUGUUUCGUCGUUGCUUCUCUCUUCUAGGUUUGAUUUUUACUUUUUCGAUGUCUGAUAAGCUCUUUGUUUGUUUUACAGUUUGAUUGGCAUUAUCCAAAACAAGCCCGACGGCACGAUGAAAUUGGUAUCUUGAUUGGCAUUAUCCAAAAUAAGCCCCAUUGCAUGAAGAAAUUGGAUAGAUGGUGCCAACGAAGAGAAAGAAGAAGGAUUGUGUGUCAACCAACGAAGUUACGGGCAUCGAUAGGCGAAAAUGUAUGACUUAAUUGUACCGUGUCCAGAAAUUGAAGAUACACUGAUUUAACAGGUAAUUUGUGCCAAAACCUUGGUACUGGCUUACCCUCAAAUCUCAAUGGUUCCCAUCCAACGCUCUCAAUGCUGAAGCAUUACGGAAGUUUCUAUUGCGAAAGUUCUUCUUUGCUGUGUAAUAACUCAAAUGAGGAUAUUGUACACAUUUUUUUACAAUGUAAAUCUGCAUAUAUACUAUUUUGUGUUUAUCGGACA